UUAGAUCUUCAAUAAUGGAAGUAUCUGAUAUUUCCAGAUUUUUAACAUUCACGUGUUUAUUAACCUAUGAACCAGGGCCUAAAAAAUAAAAUCACUAGAGGAUUGGAGCUCAAAUAUGCAAGGAGAAGUUUCUUUCCAUGUUGGAGAUCAGUGUUGGAACCCCAGUCUUCCGCGAAGAUGUCCUUCAUAAAACCAAAGCUAACUGUUGAGCAGAUCAAUCAUGAUAGAUGUUUGAAUAAAUAAACCAGCAUAGGAUCUACUUUUGGUGGAAUGAUGGGCAGAGUUCAGCAACCAAUAGCUAAUCAUCAACAUAGAAGGCUCUUUGGUACAUCGGCAUUAACAUUCUUGAAAGUGAUAAAGAAUGCAUGAGCACAAAGGAAUCGUAGUCCAAAAGUGCAGAUUGGCUGUGAUGUAAAGCUAUACGUGGUGAAUCAGGUGUGCAAAACCGUGUAUCACAUACCAGCAAAGCAUCACUGAUUAUGUCUAGUGCAUAUAAUCAAUGGACAAUGAAAACACUUUUCAUCACAGUCCUACAGAAGUACUCAGUAUUUCUUGCUCUGUUUUAGCUAAGGUUCCUCUGGAGCUAACAGGUAUACUUACCAAAGGGGUGGGCACAUAGCUAAUUACAUGAUAGCUAGGCGAUGGGGUGCACAAAUUUUUUUCCCUUUCAAAGAUGUUGUGGUGUUACAGCCGAGGUAGCUAUCAGCCUAACGACGCUCUGUUUUAUUGGUUUGAGCAUCAUAUCUCAAACUCUUUUAGUAGCUGAAAGAAAAGACAAUGUAAUUAACAAAACUGCCAUGGAGUAUGAUGCAUUAUCUAUUUAUUAAAUUUAAUGGAGGAUUUA